CAGUAGCCGCGGUAACACGAAGGGGGCUAGCGUUGUUCGGAAUUACUGGGCGUAAAGCGCACGUAGGCGGAUAUUUAAGUCAGGGGUGAAAUCCCAGAGCUCAACUCUGGAACUGCCUUUGAUACUGGGUAUCUUGAGUAUGGAAGAGGUGAGUGGAAUUCCGAGUGUAGAGGUGAAAUUCGUAGAUAUUCGGAGGAACACCAGUGGCGAAGGCGGCUCACUGGUCCAUUACUGACGCUAAGGUGCGAAAGCGUGGGGAGCAAACAGGAUUAGAUACCCCUGUAGUCCCUGUCUCUUAUAC
rnacentral:rRNA from 1 species